UAAUUCGAAGCAACGCGAAGAACCUUACCAGGUCUUGACAUCCUCUGACAAUCCUAGAGAUAGGACGUCCCCUUCGGGGGCAGAGUGACAGGUGGUGCAUGGUUGUCGUCAGCUCGUGUCGUGAGAUGUUGGGUUAAGUCCCGCAACGAGCGCAACCCUUGAUCUUAGUUGCCAGCAUUCAGUUGGGCACUCUAAGGUGACUGCCGGUGACAAACCGUAGGAAGGUGGGGAUGACGUCAAAUCAUCAUGCCCCUUAUGACCUGGGCUACACACGUGCUACAAUGGACAGAACAAAGGGCAGCGAAACCGCGAGGUUAAGCCAAUCCCACAAAUCUGUUCUCAGUUCGGAUCGCAGUCUGCAACUCGACUGCGUGAAGCUGGAAUCGCUAGUAAUCGCGGAUCAGCAUGCCGCGGUGAAUACGUUCCCGGGCCUUGUACACACCGCCCGUCACACCACGAGAGUUUGUAACACCCGAAGUCGGUGAGGUAACCUUUUAGGAGCCAGCCGCUGAAGGUGGGACAGAUGAUUGGGGUAGAAGAUAGCCUCUAGAAUCAA
rnacentral:rRNA from 1 species